rnacentral:rRNA from 1 species
UACGUAGGAGGCGAGCGUUGUCCGGAAUUACUGGGCGUAAAGAGCGCGCAGGCGGUCGUUCAAGUCGAGUGUGAAAGCCCCCGGCUCAACUGGGGAGGGUCACUCGAUACUGAUCGACUCGAAGGCAGGAGAGGGAAGCGGAAUUCCCGGUGUAGUGGUGAAAUGCGCAGAUAUCGGGAGGAACACCGGUGGCGAGGGCGGUUCUCUGGGCCUUACCUGACACUGAGGAGCGAAAGCGUGGGGAGCGAACAGG